rnacentral:rRNA from 1 species
AUUGAACGCUGGCGGCAGGCCUAACACAUGCAAGUCGAACGAGUGGCGGACGGGUGAGUAAUGUCUGGGAAACUGCCUGAUGGAGGGGGAUAACUACUGGAAACGGUAGCUAAUACCGCAUACCAUCGGAUGUGCCCAGAUGGGAUUAGCUAGUAGGUGGGGUAAAGGCUCACCUAGGCGACGCUCCCUAGCUGGUCUGAGAGGAUGACCAGCAAUACUGGGACUGCGACACGGUCCAGACGCCUAAGGGAGGCAGCAGUGGGGAAUAUUGCACAAUGGGCGCAAGCCUGAUGCAGCCAUGCCGCGUGUAUGAAGAAGGCCUUCGGGUUGUAAAGUACUUUCAGCGGGGAGGCGUUACCCGCAGAAGAAGCACCGGCUAACUCCGUGCCAGCAGCCGCGGUAAUUG